GACGAACGCUGGCGGCGUGCCUAAUACAUGCAAGUCGAGCGAAUCAGCAGGAGCUUGCUCCUGUUGGUCAGCGGCGGACGGGUGAGUAACACGUGGGCAACCUGCCUGUAAGACUGGGAUAACACCGGGAAACCGGUGCUAAUACCGGAUAAUCCUUUUCCUCUCAUGAGGAAAAGCUGAAAGUCGGUUUCGGCUGACACUUACAGAUGGGCCCGCGGCGCAUUAGCUAGUUGGUGAGGUAACGGCUCACCAAGGCGACGAUGCGUAGCCGACCGGAGAGGGUGAUCGGCCACACUGGGACUGAGACACGGCCCAGACUCCUACGGGAGGCAGCAGUAGGGAAUCUUCCACAAUGGACGAAAGUCUGAUGGAGCAACGCCGCGUGAGCGAUGAAGGCCUUCGGGUCGUAAAGCUCUGUUGUUAGGGAAGAACAAGUACCGGAGUAACUGCCGGUACCUUGACGGUACCUAACCAGAAAGCCACAGCUAACUACGUGCCAGCCGCCGCGGUAAGAC
rnacentral:rRNA from 1 species